CUACGGGAUGCACCAGUGGGGAAUAUUGCACAAUGAGGGAAACCCUGAUGCAGCAACGCCGCGUGGAGGAUGACACAUUUCGGUGCGUAAACUCCUUUUAUAGGUCAAGAUAACGACGGUAGCCUAUGAAUAAGCGCCGGCUAACUCCGUGCCAGCAGCCGCGGUAAUACGGAGGGCGCAAGCGUUACUCGGAAUCACUGGGCGUAAAGAGCAUGUAGGCGGGUUAAUAAGUCAGAAGUGAAAUCCAAUAGCUCAACUAUUGAACUGCUUUUGAAACUGUUAAGCUAGAGUGUGGGAGAGGUAGAUGGAAUUUCUGGUGUAGGGGUAAUAUGCGUAGAGAUCAGAAGGAAUACCGAUUGCGAAGGCGAUCUACUGGAACAUUACUGACGCUGAGAUGCGAAAGCGUGGGGAGCAAACAGGAUUAGAUACCCCCGUAGUC
rnacentral:rRNA from 1 species